GAUGAACGCUGGCGGCGUGCCUAAUACAUGCAAGUCGAGCGAACAGACGAGGAGCUUGCUCCUCUGACGUUAGCGGCGGACGGGUGAGUAACACGUGGAUAACCUACCUAUAGGACUGGGAUAACUUCGGGAAACCGGAGCUAAUACCGGAUAAUAUAUUGAACCGCAUGGUUCAAUAGUGAAAGACGGUUUUGCUGUCACUUAUAGAUGGAUCCGCGCCGCAUUAGCUAGUUGGUAAGGUAACGGCUUACCAAGGCAACGAUGCGUAGCCGACCUGAGAGGGUGAUCGGCCACACUGGAACUGAGACACGGUCCAGACUCCUACGGGAGGCAGCAGUAGGGAAUCUUCCGCAAUGGGCGAAAGCCUGACGGAGCAACGCCGCGUGAGUGAUGAAGGUCUUCGGAUCGUAAAACUCUGUUAUUAGGGAAGAACAAAUGUGUAGGUAACUAUGCACGUCUUGACGGUACCUAAUCAGAAAGCCACGGCUAACUACGUG
rnacentral:rRNA from 1 species